rnacentral:rRNA from 1 species
UACAGAGGUCUCAAGCGUUGUUCGGAUUCAUUGGGCGUAAAGGGUGCGUAGGCGGCGCGGUAAGUCGGGUGUGAAAUCUUGGAGCUUAACUCCGAAACUGCAUUCGAUACUGCCGUGCUUGAGGACUGGAGAGGAGACUGGAAUUUACGGUGUAGCGGUGAAAUGCGUAGAGAUGUGGAGGAACACCAGUGGCGAAGGCGACUUUUUGGCCUGUAACUGACGCUGAGGCGCGAAAGCGUGGGGAGCAAACAGG